rnacentral:rRNA from 1 species
CCUACGGGAGGCUGCAGUGAGGAAUAUUGGUCACUGGGCGAGAGCCUGAACCAGCCAAGUCGCGUGAAGGAUGACGGCCCUACGGGUUGUAAACUUCUUUUGUCAGGGAGCAAUUGGGUCCACGCGUGUGCUUAGCGAGAGUACCUGAAGAAAAAGCAUCGGCUAACUCCGUGCCAGCAGCCGCGGUAAUACGGAGGAUGCGAGGGUUAUCCGGAUUUAUUGGGUUUACAGGGUGCGUAGGCGGAAUAUCAAGUCGGCGGGAAAAAUUCGGGGCUCAAACCAGUCGUGCCAUUGAAACUGAUGUUCUUGAGUGGGCGAGAAGUAUGCGGAAUGCGUGGUGUAGCGGUGAAAUGCAUAGAUAUCACGCAGAACUCCGAUUGCGAAGGCAGCAUACCGGCGCCCAACUGACGCUGAAGCACGAAAGCGUGGGUAUCGAACAGGAUUAGAUACCCUUGUAGUC